AGAGUUUGAUCAUGGCUCAGAUUGAACGCUGGCGGCAUGCCUAACACAUGCAAGUCGAACGGCAGCACAGCAGUAGCAAUACUGUGGGUGGCGAGUGGCGGACGGGUGAGUAAUGCAUCGGGAUCUACCCAAACGUGGGGGAUAACGUAGGGAAACUUACGCUAAUACCGCAUACGUCCUACGGGAGAAAGCGGGGGACCGAAAGGCCUCGCGCGGUUGGACGAACCGAUGUGCGAUUAGCUAGUUGGUAGGGUAAUGGCCUACCAAGGCGACGAUCGCUAGCUGGUCUGAGAGGAUGAUCAGCCACACUGGAACUGAGACACGGUCCAGACUCCUACGGGAGGCAGCAGUGGGGAAUAUUGGACAAUGGGCGCAAGCCUGAUCCAGCAAUGCCGCGUGUGUGAAGAAGGCCUUCGGGUUGUAAAGCACUUUUAUCAGGAGCGAAAUACUACUGGCUAAUAACCGGUGGGGCUGACGGUACCUGAGGAAUAAGCACCGGCUAACUUCGUGCCAGCAGCCGCGGUAAUACGAAGGGUGCAAGCGUUAAUCGGAAUUACUGGGCGUAAAGCGUGCGUAGGCGGUUAUUUAAGUCUGUUGUGAAAUCCCCGGGCUCAACCUGGGAAUGGCAAUGGAUACUGGAUAGCUAGAGUGUGAUAGAGGAUGGUGGAAUUCCCGGUGUAGCGGUGAAAUGCGUAGAGAUCGGGAGGAACAUCAGUGGCGAAGGCGGCCAUCUGGAUCAACACUGACGCUGAGGCACGAAAGCGUGGGGAGCAAACAGGAUUAGAUACCCUAGUAGUCC
rnacentral:rRNA from 1 species